CAUUGAAUGGCUGAAAAAGCAUUGGUCUCUUAAACCACUUUAUAGUAAUUUUACUUUCAAUG
rnacentral:tRNA from 1 species